GUCGGCAAUGGUGUCGGUCCCGGGCUUCAGAACCUGCACGGGCGGCUG
rnacentral:tRNA from 14 species